CUGUGCAGCAACGCCAAGGAGAACCGGGGAGAUCAAAGAGAAAGCUCUCUUGGUACCUGAAUCCUAGGCCAAAGGUGACUGCAGGAGAGAGUGACUCAGAGCAGAAAAGAUGGAUGCAAAAUGGAGGCCCAGAUGCCAAGUUUUUAUCCUGCUGAGUUACCCGGUGGGCACUUGCAGCCCCAAGAGAAGCCUCAGUGGGUUUAGUGAAACUGGUGGUGAAGUCCCUGUCACCCUCUGCGGUCCAGGUGGUGCUGACGGGGUGAUGAAGCCACUGAUCUGACUUUGGGCCGGAUUUUCAAAGUAUGCACGGUAGAACUGGGACUGUUACUAAACUAAUGGAAAUGGGGCAUAGGUUCCAAAGCAGUAGAGGGAAAAGAAGGGUUAGGAAAA